GCCUCUCUCCCCUCAACCCCCAGCAGCUGUGGGGGAAAUUGGGCCAUUUGAAGAAUAAAGGAGAAGGCAGGAGGGAGGAAACUCCCAUCCCAGGGCCCGGUCCACAGCUGGGGUGAAAGCCUGUUCCUCGUUAACACCCUGACUCAGGGACCAGGACUGGGGUGUCGUGUCUCCUCCGCCUCCCACGGGCCGGGAGGUGAAAGGCAUGCUGGGAGGUGGUAGCCGGAGUUAUUGGGAGCAGAUGGGAAGGGAUGGUGGAGGGGCAGGGCUGUGGGGGAGGGAGGGGCAACCUAGGGGUAGGAGGAAACCGAAAAGACCCUUACCCAGACCACUGGGGUCCUGAGCCAGUUAUCUGGAUGUUCUCCACGGGACAUUCCUUGGUCCAGGUGACAGGUAAAUCCAGAUUUGAGGGAUGGAGAGGCUUCAGAAAGGUCAAUGCUAAGGCCAUGUCUGUUUGGUAUGGACCCUGGGGAUCCACAUCACCUGACCCUCUCCUGAGUCCCUCUGGGGUCUGAGGAUCUGUGUCCAGGGGCCCUGACAGGGGUGGGGUGAGAGGUGGGAGCAUGUGUUACAUGUAGACUGUGCUCGAGGAAGCCAGAGGCUGCUGGACUGGGAGCAGGAGGCUGGGCCCAGCGGCAGCUGACAGGAAUGAGGUGGCGUCAGUCGAGGGGAAGUUCUCAAGAGCAUUGAGGGCCAAUGAGCCACAUUUCAAAGGUUGACUGUGAUGCAGACAGGGAUGCUGGUGAGUGUGGUGCUGGUUGCAGUGCUGACAGAGGCGGUGUGGUGGUGGCGAUGGGGCCGUGAAUGUGGAGCCUGAUGUCCUCUGUGCCCAGUGACUCCACUCAGUUGCCCGCCUGCUUUUAUGGGAGCCACUUGGUGAAACGUCCCUUUCUGUUUGGUAAGACCCCGCCCUCUCAUCUCCAGUCCUUGGAAACACCUUGGUCUUAGCUGAGCUGAGUCCUGGUCUUCAUCCCUAACCGCCUCUGCAGCCCCCAGCCCUCGGCCCAGAGCUGAGUCUGCAGAGACGAGUGGACGGUGCUGAGUCCCAACCACUUAAGAAUCCAAGCGGUUUAGGGUCUGGAGGAAGAGGUGGGGCCAGGGAGGGUGAGUCAGGACUGCAGUUGUGGACGCCCUUGGCCCCUGCUCCUUAGGCACUCCUCCUUCUUAGCCAGGCCAGGCAGGCCCCCGGGCCUGCACUUCCUGCCUCGCAUGGCUUGGGCCCAGAUUCUUCCUCCAAUAUUUUAAUUAGAUCCCAAGCUCAUUAGCUGCCCAAAUGCCUUCCAGACACCCUGCAGCUGCUCUGGCCCUCCCCACACCUGCCCAUCCAGCUGGGCCUCCCCCACACCUGAAAGACAUCGGGGCUUAGAACUCCAGCCCCUCCCUGGGGCCUCCAACAGCCAGGACCAGGAAAGGAGAAGCAGGCUCUUCGGCUGAGGGAGGGUGGGAGGCCACAGGAGGGGCCUUGCUCUGCAGGGACGCCUGGGAGGUGAGUUGUGGCACAGCCCAGGAGAUAGGACGUUGGAUGCCCCAUCUGCCAAUACCAGAGAGCCUGGGCUCUGGUCCUCUGCCACUUCACUGAGCCUAGGUCCUUCCCUCCUGGGCCCUCUCGAGAGGACUGAUCAGCACCCAGGUGUUAGCCUUCUGUACAAGUGCAGUGGCCAAGAAGGGUGUGUGAGGGAGAAAGCUAGCCCAGAAAGGGGGCUUCGGGGAGCUGGACUUUGAUCUCAGCAGACUUCCUUGUAGGAUUUGCCAGUCCAAAUCAUCGCUCAAUGAGUGGCAGAAAGGGUCAUAUCCCAGAUCGUGGAGACGCAGGAGGCGCGAGUUCUAUCCCUGGGUUGGGAAGAUAUCCUGGAGGAGGGCAUGGUAACCUACUACAACAUUCCUGCCUGCUCCUUGCCUUGUCCUCCUUCUCCCUCUCCUGUUCCGAGAUGGAAGGCGAAGCCAAAUCCCGCUCAUCAGAGAGUCUCCUCCUGCCACACGAUACAUUUCUCCUUCCCAAGGCCCCUCACCCCAUGCUGAGGAGUCAAAAUAACCUGACUGACCCCGCGCCUGCAGGGCCAUUCCCACCUCUGGCAGUCGGCCACCAGCCCCAAGUCUGCGAGAAAAUUUAUCUGAUCUUUGAACUUAGCACUUCCCUGGAGAUAAACCUGGGCAACUGCUAAAGGUAUCAGAGCUGCUGCAGAGUCUGAGAGUCAGGCAUUCGAAGAUUCUGGCCCAUGGCCAAAAUGGAAUGUCUGAAAAUCUACCAAGUGAUCUUCUCUUUGGAAGUCCUUCACCAUCACCACCUCCAUCAUCACUUUUAUAGGCGACAUAGGGUGAUCCCAUGUCUCCAUAUGCCUGGAAUAUUGGGGUUUGCAUAUUAAUAGGCCCUUGUUUGACUAUUAAG
ensembl:lncRNA